UACGUAGGGAGCGAGCGUUGUCCGGAUUCAUUGGGCGUAAAGAGCUCGUAGGCGGCUUGGUAAGUCGGAUGUGAAACCUCCAGGCUCAACCUGGAGUCGCCAUCCGAUACUGCCAUGGCUAGAGUCCGGUAGGGGCCCACGGAAUUCCUGGUGUAGCGGUGAAAUGCGCAGAUAUCAGGAGGAACACCGAUGGCGAAGGCAGUGGGCUGGGCCGGCACUGACACUGAGGAGCGAAAGCGUGGGGAGCGAACAGG
rnacentral:rRNA from 1 species